CAGUCAUGGUUACAAUUGGUACACAGAUAUAUUAAUUAGUCUCCUGAAAAGCAUAUGCAUAUGCCCUAGCCUUUUUCCACAGUGUCAUAAACGAUCAAUUUCUUCCAUUUACUCUCAAAAAUAUUGACUCUCAUUCUAAGUUGGUAAGUAAUUUGUUCCAUUAUAUAUACCUCUCUUAUAAUACCCAUCCACUGGUCUUUUGUGGGGGGCUCAGCCUUACACCAAUUUCUGGUUAUUGCUUUCUUCCUUGUUAUUAACAGUAUCUUAGUUAUAUAUCUAUCAGUAAUUAGGAGACUUUUUUUGAGACACAACUCGAGGCCUACAUUUGUCAAAUCUUUCAUUACCUAUUGGGAAACAAUUAUAUUAUUUUCUCAAUUAGCGCACGCCUAUAGACAUUUUUUAAAUGCAAGAUUGUGUGCAUAUAUGUUUUCAAAAUUAUCCAUGUAUAUGAGUGAAAACAGGACCUUAGGUGUCCAUAGUUACCACAGUGUAAAUAGAAAAGAUUUGUUCUGUUAUUUUUAUUUUUUCAUUAUUUGAUGUUAGUUAAAUCAGUUCAUGAAGUAAAUGCUGGCAUAAAAACAUGCAUAUCCUGUAAAACUGUAGAGUAAGUAGUCAAUUCAUAGAUUACUACCUGCUGUUCUCUCUAAUCUUUCUCCAAUACACUGCCUCCCUAAAUCAAAUCAUCCAUCAGUGACCCCUCGGCCCGUUUGAAUUUCUUAACAGCUGCUUUCUGUUUGUUGUCUGUUUUGAUCAGAACUCAGAUCUUUGACUUAAGUCAAACUAACAAUACUAUAUUGUAAAUAUACUCUGUAGCAUUAAGAGUCCUCCUUUCAGAAUCAGAAUACCUUUAAUCGUCCCACAGAGGGCAAAUGUAUACUGUAACAGCAAAAGUGAAGAAAAUAAAACACUAUUUGAAAGGGCAUGCCCAUAAUGUUUACACUUACCAAAAAAAAGUAUUACAUUUACAAGUGACCUCAUAAGUUUGCAAUUUACAUAUGGCACAGCAGUGGUGUCGUAGUCUAUGUUUGUUUUUACAUCAUUGCACAUAGUCUCUAUUGUUGUGUGUGUGUGGGGGUCUACCAGGGGCCACGGUGGUUUUAAAAUCUUACGUGUGUGUGUGUGUGUGUGUGUGUGUGUGGUGUGUGUGUGUGUGUGUGUGUGUGUGUGUGUGUGUGUGUUAUAACAACUAACUCCAAUGAAUGAGUCCUAACAUCCUCUGCUCUCUCUCCAUGUGAAGCACCACGCUCAGCUACUGCCACCGCAGGAGGUGGUGGAGACCAGCAAUACGGCUCCCUCCUACGCUGUGAGGCCUCCUCCUCCUCCUCUAAAACCCAAACCUUCUGCUGCAUCUCAGCCUCUGGUGCCUCAAAGACCCGCCCCAGCUCCACCUGUGUAACCAAUCAAGGGGCCCUGCCAACCACACCUAGAUGAACCCCCUCUUGUACUCAAAGCUGGUCACUGAGCAGCCAGGGAAAUAAUCUGGAGCCAAGUUUGAGGACAGCCGGCUCCAGACAACAAACUGAACCUGAAACUGGAACAUACCAGAAUGGAACUGAUGCAGCCACUGUUCUCAACGGACUGUCCUUCCUUAUUUCUUUCUCUCCCUUUCCUUAUUUCUUGAAGUCUGGAGACAAAACUCAGCCAAUCAGGUGACACAUUGUCUGUCACCAAACCAGCCAAUCAUAUCCCAAGAACAGCUACCUGUGAUAUCAACAAAUCAAUUACUAGAAAUUCUUAUUAUUACCCAAUAUAAACUGUAUUAAUCCCCAUCCAUAUUGUGUAUUCCUGCUGUAGAGUGCUGUAGAAAUGAGUCCUACAUUUGUGAAAUGAGUUUUUGAACUUCCGCUUCUCUCGUCUAGGUUUUUUGAAAUGGUUUUGGUUAGCUGCCUGAGAUAAGGUCUUUGGUUAACACAAGUCAGAACAUACCCCUCCAUUCACACCAAGCACUGUGCUGCUUUUAAGUUAGUGGUGGUGUUCUGAAGUCAUGCAAUCAUUGUGUGCUUAGUUUAUAGCCUUUUUUACUUCUUUUAAUUGCAUUACCAUAACAAAAAAUGUUUUAAGAUCAAAUAUGCUAUAGAACUUAAUUUCUGCAAAACAUCAUAAUCAUAGUGAAGUUGAAAAAACCCAAUUACCAUUUUGUCAAAAGUAAGCAGCAAACUUGGAUUGGCCUACAAUAAUAGUUCCUUCUAUAAAACAAGAUCUGCAUACAGUGCCCCUCAGACUUGCUUCCAAUUUGUCCUAAUGGCCACUCAAUAAUGCAGCCAGCUGUCUGUAAAACUGUGGACAGGACACCUCGAAUGGAUGUUUUUUAUAUAAAAAAUUUGUGUAAAACUUAUAAAAAAUACAUUGUAUUGUAAUUACUAGCAGUCAAUGGCUCCUCUGCCAGCAGCACGGGGCCUACGCUAGCAGGCUUAGAGGUUAGGAGCAAGUGCUAAGUAGCAACAAUGUUUCCCCAAUUUCAUGUUACUUGCUAGCAAUAUAAAAGAUUUAUGGUAUAUUUAGCAAGCCCGUUUAAUAACUAAUGUUAAGUAGCUACCAGUACUAGCAAGCUCUCACACUCUGGAGCUAAUGCUACCGGUAGCUUCCCUGGAUUUAGUCCUUAUUAUCGAACAUAUUGCCAGAUUUACCAUCCAAAGGAAUAUUUAAACAAUGGGUCCUUGAUUUCAGACAGGAGCAUGUUCUCUUUUUAAAGCGACAAUUUUGCAGCUGUCUAGCUCGUAGCUAGCUUAUUAACAUUAUCCCCAUAAUUAUAUAUUUACUUUCUGCCAUUUCAACAAGUGCACAAAUGCUGUGUGAAACGUAACCACUAUAAAGCAACCUCAGUGGGGGAGGAAACCGCUCAUAUUUUUAUGUUUUUUAUUUGUUUAAUUGUUUCUUUUAAUUGAACAAUUGAUUCCACUUACUGAGACAUGCUUCACUCUGAUUGGCUGGUUUAAAGAUGCAGAGCUCACUGGAAUUUGAGCUUACUCUCCUUUCUUUCUGUUUUCUGUCUUUGAAUGGAAGCACUGAUUCUUGCACUGCAUUGAGUCUGAUUGCACUUCCUGCUCAAACACUGUCAUAGGAAUUUUACGCCCCCCUGCUGCUCUGUGUGGAUGCACUUGGUCUCCACCACCUUGCCUGGCACUCUGUCUCUCCAGAAUUGUAAAAAUCCCAUUAUGCAACAUCUUCUGGGGGCAGAGCUCGUCCGGGUUUGACUUCCUCUGAUGUGGAUCUGGGUCUGUGUAGUACUUGGAUAUCUGUGACUUUCUGCAGGUAAUGUACGCUCGCUCACCAAGUUUAGUUGAAUCAUAAAGCAAAUCUCCUCAUGAAGACCUCAACACUGUUGAAUCUGAUAUCUGUGAUGUUCUUUAUCUACACUAUAGAGGAUUUGUUUACUUGAAUAGAUUCAAAGCGAAACUGACCCAUGCAUCUAGUCUUCCAGCAGCACACACAACAUCUAGGUGUGUUAUAGAGGCAUUCAUUGUGAAUUAGCUCAACAACGUAAACACACAUUAUGCUAUUAGAUGCCAACAGCGAUAAAACAUACUUGUGUCUCAUGGAGGCGCUGUAUUAGUAUAAAAUUAUAGGUUUACUCAAUAGUCUUAGAACACACUUUGACUUUCUAUACUCACUUCAACAAUAAACCAUAGUAAGGACUCAUGGUAAGAUAUAGUUCAUGCAAUAAGUCAUUGUUGGUGUUAAGUAAAGGCAAGUACAAAAAGAAUGCAUGCUUCCUCAUAAUGUGUCUUUGUUAGUAGUAAAGCAUUUCCAUUUCAAAGAAUAGAUGCUGCAUUAAGAUGACCCUUUAUUAAUCCCCAGGGGGAAUUCACUUUUCCACUCUGUUAUUGUAUACACACACAUUUGAAAUACACACAUGCAUAGCACCUAUAGAGAUUAGGUCUGAAUACAGAUGCACAAAGACUGUACUGUUUGAUCUAAUCAGGACUUGAACCGGCAUUCCUUCAGCUCCUAAACCAAGUCCAUACACACUGAGAUACUGCCGCCCAGAAAUUGGUGUUGUCGGCAGGAUUCAAACUUGCAAAGGGACACCCCAAUGGAUUUCUAGUGCAUCGCUUUCACCACUCGUCCACAGCAACACUAUUAGUGACACCAAAAUGCAUACAAUCAAAAGGAAACGUGUCUGCGGUUGGAAAGGAAACGUGUCUGCGGUUGGAAUGCAAUCUAACAAUAAUGUCUGGUAUUAAUUCAUAAAGGCAUGAGCAUCACAGAUGAAAGAUUACAGUGUUGAGGUGUGUAAAGGUGGAACCGAUCUCACAGCUCACCACUGAAACACCUGUGAUAAAGUCCUGAAAGAGUCCUGAAAGAGUCCAGAUGUCCUGUCCCCGCCGUCUUUAACACCAACGUCACCUGAAUGUGAGAAACAGAACGGAACACAGUCUGACUCCUGACUGCAGACUGAACAUUUAAAAACAUUCAGGACCUUUGAGUUUGUCUGGUUGUGUGAACGCUGCGCGGCCUGCAUCACAGCCACUCAACGCCGGAGGGUUCAUUCCUUUCAUUCAAACCAGGGAUUGAUACACCAACAGGUUACCAAAUGUCUGACUGGCUAACACUUUUAGCCAGCAAAUGAACCUAGAUGCACUGUGUGAGGAGAACAUCACGUUAAUAUCCGCUUUAGUAUACUUUAGUUUGCUGUCGUGUGUUUUUUUGCACAGAAAUUGUUGUGAACAAGAGUAAAAGUAUAGGGCUAAUACUGUGCCAUUUCAAAGUGUUCAUGCCAAACAAUAAAUAAAUAUAUAUGAUCUAGGGCUGCCACUAAAGAUCAUUUUAAUUAUCGUUUGAUCUGAAGAUAAUUUUUAUUGAUAAAUCGAUUCAUUGUUUGGUGUGUUAUAUACCCGAAAUACUGAAAAAUAUUCAUUACAGUUUCUUUAAGUCCAAGAACUCUUUUAAUGUCUUUUUGUGAGUCCAAACCCCACACAUUUUCAGUUUUAUAUGUAAUAAAACCAAGAAAAGCCAUA